GAUGACAGAGAGUACGUGACUCCACAUCACAGCUAUCAUGUUUUAAUUCACCUCAUUAAGAGUAAGUUCUUCGUAAUGGCCGCUCUCUCGUCUCUGCUGUGUUCAUCUGCUCGUCUCGUUACAUCGCCUCGGUUACGAUUUUGCGAGCUAGCUGUUUGCAGACGCAUAACAUGGCUGUCUUCGUCCCUCCAACGUUGUUACACGUCGAACACUUCGGGCACAGCAGCAGAUCAUCUCAGCUCUGGACUUGACAGGUACAAGGACUUGCAGAAUUAUUUCAAAAGAAGACUGAGGUCAGCGUACCACAGGUUCUCCGACAUACCCGAUCACUCAGUGAUCUGUGGACAACAUCAUGAUUAUUUCACUGAAGGUGAUGGCAUUUACAGAAGGGACAAGAGACAGAGUGAUCUGGAGCCAGAGCAGGUCCUGAAUCUAGGACAAGUCUCUGAACAAGAGGAGGAGGCAGGACUUGAUAAUGAAGAGAGAAUGCAGAGGUUUCAGUGGACUGUCCAGAGAAUACGUCUGUCCCCACAGGAAAAGCAUCUCGCUGCCACACUCAGAACUGACCACAGAGAAGAUCUGAGGUGUGUUGUUGUGAGACUUGGAAAGAGAGGUCCCCUCCCUCAGGGUCCUGCACACGUCGUAUUCACUCUGGACAAAGUCUUCACCUUUGAGUGGGCCACAGACGAGGUUAUGUUUUACACAACUUUGGAGGGUCUGCGCUGCAACAGAGUGUUUCGUCUGGACCUCACCUCCAGUGGAGGCAGGAUAACCUCUGUGUAUGAGGAGACACAUCCUGAUGUGUUUGUGGAGGUUGCCCUUUCCAGAGACCGACGGAUACUGAGCAUCAACUGCAACAGCAGGACCACUUCAGAGGUGCUGCUAAUUGAUACAGUAGCAUCCCAUUUAGAGCCUUUUCUGGUUCAGCCACGCCAGCUGGACCUCCUCUACCAUGUGGAGCAUUGGAGAAAGUGGCUGAUUAUACUGGCUAAUACAGGGCCUGGACAGGAAUAUCAGGUGGUGCAGGCCCCACUCUCCAAGCCGUCCAUUGUCUCCUGGAUGCCCCUGUUUUCCCCUGCCCCUGGCACUGCAAUCAAAGACAUGGAUGUUGUUGGAGACCACUGUGUGCUGGUUGCAAGAACACCAGCUGGUGAACUUGUCUUGAUCGUGGUCCCAAUUCCCUGCCCUAGGAAAGCAUACACUGUACAGCUCCCGUCAUGGGCCUGUGCCAUCACAAUCAAGAAGGCAGACAUGGCAGAUCAACGCAAUGCGUUAGAGUUCUUGGUUUCAUCUCCUGUACACUUGCCGGUGCCAUAUUGUCUAUUCCCCGAGGAUGGGCUCCUUGUAUCAGGCAAUGAAGAUGCAUCCUCCCCAGAAAGCUUGGGCAGUUACACCACCUCACGCCUGGAGGCCUGCAGCCAAGAUGGUACCUUGGUGCCAGUGACACUGUUUCAUACAUUACCUGUGGAGAGUUUGAGACAGGUGCCACUACUGGUCCAUGUCUAUGGAGCUUAUGGCCAAGAUCUCAACAUGGAAUUCUGCCCAGAAAAAAGGCUGCUGCUGGAGCAGGGCUGGGCUCUGGCUUACUGCCACAUCAGAGGUGGAGGUGAGCGGGGUCUGUUCUGGCAAAGACAAGCCCGUGUUGAGGGGAAGCAGAGAGGAGUGGAGGACCUCCAAGCCUGUCUCCAUCACCUUUUCACUUUAGGAGUCUCCUGUCCUUCACUCACUGCCUUUACAGCCUGCAGUGCUGGAGCUGUGCCAGUGGGAGCGCUGUGCAACAGGCACCCACACCUGAUACGGGCUGUCACGCUGCAGGCUCCGUUUGUGGAUGUGUUGGGGACUAUGGAGGAUCCCAGCCUGCCUCUAACUUUGGAGGAUAGAGAAGAAUGGGGGAACCUAGUAGGAAACCCAAAACAUAGACUCACCAUCUCCUCCUACUGUCCCCUUCACAACAUUACUCCUCAGUGCUACCCAUCAUUUCUGCUGACCGCCUACAGUGGUGAUGCCAGAGUUCCUCUGGCAGGUGUCCUCAAGUAUGUUGAGCGAUUAAAGGAUGCCAUUCAUACUCACUUCACACUGAAGCCAGAGUCAGAUUGUGAUAGUUCAGGGUCAGCUCCCAGUUUCAGUGUCUGUGCAUGUCUGGAGGGAGGUAACAGAUGCAUGGCUGUGUGUCAUGCUAACAGCAGUCAAAGUUCACAACCAAAGUAUAGCAUAGGUCACCUUGUAGUAUACCGUGUGUCUGUGUAUGUGUCAGCUAAUUGCUCUCAUUUCCCCCCAGACAGGCUCUUUCUCCCUCUCACUUAUAAUCUGCCUUCACCACAUUCAUGGUGCUACUCUUUACACCCCUCUCUCACUCUCUCUCCACUCCGCUCUUCUCUUCUCGUUUCAGAUGCACACAUUAUCUCUCUCUUUCACCCUCUCUCACUUUUCUGUUGUUCGUACACACAUACACCAGGCAGUCUGUAUGUGUGUGUGUCUCCUUAAUCUGUCUCUCUCUGUUAACAGAGUCUUUGAUAAAGUGCUGAUGGCAUAGACACAUGCAGGCGGGUAGGCUGGCACAUUAGCAUGGUAAAGAGAUAACGUAUCAGAGCAAGAGAUUAGGAGCCACAGACUGGGAGCUGUCAAGGUCAAGACCGCACUUGUGAAACAGCCCAUACCACAGAGACAGGGAGGGGGGAUGAUAUGGAAGGAUCUGAGAAGAGGGUGGGGAGGGGUAAUAUCAAAUGGGAGCACAAAUAAGUGAAAGGAGAGUAAAUACAGAAUCAAAAGAGGCAGAGGGAGAGUGAGGAUCUGGGGCAUCCGGACACCGAGAAAGUCGGCUUAUAAAUGUGAGCCAGCACCAAACAUAGUUCUGAAUAUCCAAUCUGGAGCAAAUCACCUCGGACCAGAGGACUUUGAGCUAAAGCUGGAGGAGGAAGCCCUCAAGCUAGCUUUCCUAUACACAGAGCUGGGCCUGGACCGUCCUCG